rnacentral:rRNA from 1 species
UCAAUUAAGAGUUUGAUCCUGGCUCAGGAUGAACGCUGGCGGCGUGCUUAACACAUGCAAGUCGAGCGAUAAUUAGCAGAUCAACUUUUCGA